UCUCUGGUUCUUUAGCCUAUUCAUAUUCACCUACUCUUCCUGUUUGGAUCCAAAUGGACUGUGAAAUUCUACAACAAAGAUACAAUUUGAUUGGUCCUUUUUCAAUUCUAAAUUAAGGAAUUGUAGCUGUUCUUCACUCCUAGGACAUCCAUAGUGUGCACAUUCUUUGCUUGCUGCACAGUCUUCCACCUGUAUAGGCAUUCUUAUGUGCAUGGCUUAGUUAUUUAUCAGUCCCCUGGGAAGAAAAUGUGGGGAAAAAAAUUCUGAUAUUAUUUAUUUCACAGAUGAAAUCAGCCCUCAUUCUACACAAAUAAAAAUACACAACUUUGUUAAACAGCCAUUCUUAAGAGCGUUGAUUUUUCACAGUUCAACAGAGUGCAGAGAAACGGAGAUGAAUAGUGGCAGGAACAGAGAGGGAUGUCAUAAUUUCAAGGAUCCCUUCAGGUACAGAAAGGCUUCAACUAUGUCACCACCCCAGAUUGUGAAGGAUAUAAACUCUUGGAUUGGGUCCAGAGUGGGGUCAUCAACAUGAUCAGAAGUUUGGAACAUCUCUCCUGUGAGAAAAGGUUUUUUGAGCACCCUAUAGGCUAAUUGAAUGCCCUCUAAAAAUAGUCUUCUAUGACCUGGGUAUAUUUCUGUCUAUAGGAUAUAUUCCUACUUACAUAUCUCCUACUGCCAGAGGGGGAUGGAGAAUGAGUUUGAAACACUUCAUGUCCUUCAUGGGCUCUCAGGAGUGUGAGAGACAGUCUGAAGAUCCCUCAUCUGCCUUGUGACUGCCAUCAAGGACAGAGAUUGAAGCCCCCCUCCAAGGACUGAGACUGAGACCCUUCAAAUUCUAACACAGGGGCGCUGGCCUGACUGAAGUGGGAUGUCUGCCAAGUGUUGCCUGCAGGUGUGUUUGCUGGACCAAGAAUGGUUUCCCAUGGGAACCAGUCCUGAAACAAUGGGCUCCGCUGGGACUGGUUUGUCCUGUUUUGUACUUGUUCUCAACAGACUUAUUCUCUACUGUCCUGUACCUGUUCCCUCGACAUACCAUCCUGUUCCCGCCACGGUGGAAGACUAUAAAAGACCCCUGAUUUAACCAAAGACUUGGAGAUUCUCCCCAGCUUGACAAGAUGGACCUAUUG